rnacentral:tRNA from 1 species
AGGGAUGUAGCUCAGUGGCACAGUGCCCACCUGGCAAGUGGGAGAUCCUGAGUUCAAUUUCCGGUGCCCCUC